rnacentral:sRNA from 1 species
GCGGCCGCGCCAGGGGUUGGACGCGAGGCGGCCGCGACAGCUCCGGCGUCGGGAACACUCACCGCAGGACGCUUUGCCCUCCUUGGAGUCACAGUAGCCGCAGUGGUAGCCGGCCCUGAGGCCCUUGUAUUCCACCACCGACGCCAUGGCCGCCGCGAGGGUCCACUCGGGCCGACCACGCCUCUCGGCGCCCGGGGCCGACCUCGGCGAAGCGCGGGGGCCCGCGGCGGGAGGGGUGGAGAGCGAGGCCUGGCGUGGGGACCAGUGGGCGGAAAUGGUGGUCGUGUCCCCAAGCCCCGCGUUUGGGCCGGUACUUCCCACAGCUGUGCGUUAUCAGCCCCAUUUCGCAGUUUGCUAAAGCAGAGGCAUACUACUAUCAAUAGCAUCAAGAAAUGAUGAUAGAAGAAGUAUGGAAAUACAAUAUGGUUCCAAAAUGGGAAACUAAAAUAGAGGAAAAGAGACCAUAAAGUGAGAAAACAGAAGAUAGUAAAAAAUGGGACUAUCUAGUGCCUGAGAGGGAACUGAGUCUUACAAAGAAACACAUACACCGGGCUGAACGAACCAGAGGCCUCAGGGACCACAAACACCGACUGCUCCCUCAAAGAAUUCCCAAUGAAAUACUUUCCCCUAAAAUACUAACACUGGAAAAGGAUGGAAAGCAUGAAAAUAUCCAGAAAACACACAAAACUGAAACCAGUAAGCACAAGGUGGCAUGGACAAAGGAACAGAAGAAGGGACAUCAAGACCGAAUGAUCCGAGGGAGAGAACUCAGAGCAAAGACACGCUCAGAAGCGCUCCAGCCCCGUUCCAUCUUUCCUAAAAUCUCAAGUGGAAAAAGAGAAGGUGAAAGUUUGAAGGGGUCACAGCUUAUCCAAUUUUGCAACCUUACUAGAAAGCACUUAGGAAAGUGAUGAUUCUGAUGGAGAAAUUAAAAAAAAGAGGGUAAAAUUAAGAAACCACUCUGAAGGGA